UCAUGGUUUAUCCCGUUGGAGAGCACUCUUGGCCAUCACAGUGGUAAAUUGAUGGUCUAAUAAUUUCAUUAGAUGACUUCCAGGGGAGAAACAGGUGUUAGUCAAUUCAUUAUGCUCUGGGACUAUUUCCAAAAGAUUUCAUCUUGGGACUCCCUCCUACUUCUUUCUUUCUUUCCUUGGCUCAAACAGUGAGAUCACAAGUCAUGUUGGGUUGUUGGGAGAGUCAAAGGGAGUGGUUGUCAAGUGGCACCACGAGACUUGGACCAGUUUCCAUUUUGCAGGCUCUGUGCUUAUCAGUCUCACCGACCCUGCUCACUAUUUACCUGUGGCACCUGGUCUGCUUGUUUUUGGCAUCCACUUUUUUGUUUGUUUUUUUCAGUCAUGACUAAGUAUUUUGUUGGCUACUAGUAACAGAAACCCCAACGCCAACUGGCUCAAGCAGAAAAGGGGUAAUUGGCUCACCAUUUCGAAAACUCCAAUGCUAGGAUUAGCUUCAGGUGUGGCUGGAUCCAGACGCUCUGAUGACAUUAUCAGUGUUCUCUCUCUCCAUCUCAUCUCUGCCUUCCUCUGUGUUGACAUUCUCAGAUGGACUCUCCUCUCAUGAUGGCAAGAUGGAUUCUUUGAGCUCCAGGC
rnacentral:lncRNA from 10 species